rnacentral:rRNA from 1 species
CUACGGGGCGCAGCAGUGGGGAAUAUUGGGCAAUGGGCGCAAGCCUGACCCAGCAACGCCGCGUGAGGGAAGAAGGUUUUCGGAUUGUAAACCUCUGUCCCCCCUGACGAAACAAAUGACGGUAAGGGGGGAGGAAGCUCCGGCUAACUACGUGCCAGCAGCCGCGGUAAUACGUAGGGAGCGAGCGUUGUCCGGAAUUACUGGGCGUAAAGGGUGCGUAGGCGGCAUAUUAAGUCAGGUGUGAAAUUUUCGGGCUCAACCCGGAACCUGCAUUUGAAACUGAUAAGCUUGAGUGUGAGAGAGGUAAGUGGAAUUCCUAGUGUAGCGGUGAAAUGCGUAGAUAUUAGGAGGAACACCAGUGGCGAAGGCGACUUACUGGCUCAUAACUGACGCUGAGGCACGAAAGCGUGGGGAGCAAACAGGAUUAGAUACCCCUGUAGUC